CCCUCCGUAGGUGAACCUGCGGAGGGAUCAUKACCKMGKGUAAWAACUCCCAAACCAUUGUGAACCUACCACUGUUGCUUCGGCGGCCUCGCCCCGGGCGCGUUCGCGCGGCCCGGACCCAGGCGUCCGCCGGAGGCUCCAAACUCUUGUCUUUUAGUGUAUUUCUGAGUGGCAUAAGCAAAUAAAUCAAAACUUUCAGCAACGGAUCUCUUGGUUCUGGCAUCGAUGAAGAACGCAGCAAAAUGCGAUAAGUAAUGUGAAUUGCAGAAUUCAGUGAAUCAUCGAAUCUUUGAACGCACAUUGCGCCCGCCAGUAUUCUGGCGGGCAUGCCUGUCUGAGCGUCAUUUCAACCCUCAGGACCCGUUCGCGGGACCUGGCGUUGGGGAUCAGCCUGCCCCUGGCGGCGGCUGGCCCUGAAAUCCAGUGGCGGUUCCCUCGCGAACUCCUCCGUGCAGUAAUUAAACCUCUCGCGGCAGGAUAGCGGUUGAACCACGCCGUUAAACCCCCCACUUCUCAAGGUUGACCUCAGAUCAGGUAGGAAURCCMRCUGAACUUAAGCAUAUCAAUAAGCGGAGGAA
rnacentral:rRNA from 1 species